rnacentral:rRNA from 1 species
UACGGAGGGUGCAAGCGUUGCUCGGAAUUAUUGGGCGUAAAGGGUAGGUAGGUGGUCUCAUUUGUCUGAGGUGAAAGCCUUGGGCUUAACUCAAGAAGUGCCUCAGAAACGGUGAGACUAGAGUCCUGGAGAGGGUCGUGGAAUUCCCGGUGUAGCGGUGAAAUGCGUAGAGAUCGGGAGGAACACCCGUGGCGAAGGCGGCCAUCUGGACCAGCACUGACGCUGAGGCACGAAAGCGUGGGGAGCAAACAGG